GCUUCCCUGCGCCCUUCUGCCUCGUCUCAAAAUGGGGCGAGUGGGGGUCGCCGUCUUAUUUAUUAGUGCCAGUGGAAAUAUGCCCUGAAGCUGAGGUCUUUUGGUGUGUUUCUAACCUCUGCUUGUCUUAAAAGUUCCGUGGUUUUGAAUAAGGCUGGAGCAGAGGUUAUGGAAGCAAGUGAGAGCAAUGCUCACGAAAGCAGGGAUUUCUCCAAGCUGUAUUUCAGAAGGUGUUAAAAGCGGGUCAUAAAAAAAACCCUGGGAUUUUGGACAUCUGGAAAAUGGAGCUUUUGGCACAAAGAGAGGCACCCAAUGUUCUAGCUGCUGCAUCAUCUAGUUGGACCUUCCAUUCAAAAAUUUUAUUAUGUGUUUUGCUAUCCUAGUUUGCCAAGUUUGCCACUUGUCUUUAAAUUUAAAAAAAAAAUCACUGAACACAUUUUACUUUGAAAUUAAGGGAAAGCUGCCAGACAGAAGUGCCUUGAUUGCUGUGGAACGAAAAGUAUUAUGGGGCAACUGCUGGAUGAACUUUCAAGUAAUCAGGAUACACAGGCUAGCUUUCCAACUGGUUAGCACACAAAUAGAAAGGAGCAGGCAAUAGAAUAUCAACCAUGGCAGGCAGUGCAAAGUUUUUUUAAAAAAAAUUAGCAUAGUUACCUUGGGCAGAAAUACCAUUAUUUACGGCAGUGAUUCUUCAGCAAAAUAUCCUCUCAUGUUUAAACCAUUCAAUAAAGUUUUCAUUUCAGAAUAA